AUUGAACGCUGGCGGCAUGCCUUACACAUGCAAGUCGAACGGCAGCACGGGUGCUUGCACCUGGUGGCGAGUGGCGAACGGGUGAGUAAUACAUCGGAACAUGUCCUGUAGUGGGGGAUAGCCCGGCGAAAGCCGGAUUAAUACCGCAUACGAUCUACGGGUGAAAGCGGGGGCCCUUCGGGCCUCGCGCUAUUGGGUGGGCCAAUGGCUGAUUAGCUAGCUGGGGGGGUAUAGGCCUAGCAGGGCGACGACCAGAAUCGGGUCUGAAGGGGACACCAGCCACAUGGGGAGUGAGGCACGGCCCAGACUCCGACGGGGGGACGCAGUGGGGAAUUUUGGACGAUGGGGGAGAGCCGAAUCUAGCAAUGCCGCGUGUGUGAAGAAGGCGUUCGGGUUGUAAAGCACUUUUGUCCGGAAAGUAAUACUUGGCCCUAAUACGGGCGGAGGAUGACGGUACCGGAAGAAUAAGCACCGGCUAACUACGUG
rnacentral:rRNA from 1 species